rnacentral:rRNA from 1 species
UAGGGAAUCUUCCGCAAUGGACGAAAGUCUGACGGAGCAACGCCGCGUGAGCGAAGAAGGCCUUCGGGUCGUAAAGCUCUGUUGUUAGGGAAGAACAAGUACGAGAGUAACUGCUCGUACCUUGACGGUACCUAACCAGAAAGCCACGGCUAACUACGUGCCAGCAGCCGCGGUAAUACGUAGGUGGCAAGCGUUGUCCGGAAUUAUUGGGCGUAAAGCGCGCGCAGGCGGUCCUUUAAGUCUGAUGUGAAAGCCCACGGCUCAACCGUGGAGGGUCAUUGGAAACUGGGGGACUUGAGUGCAGAAGAGGAGAGUGGAAUUCCACGUGUAGCGGUGAAAUGCGUAGAGAUGUGGAGGAACACCAGUGGCGAAGGCGACUCUCUGGUCUGUAACUGACGCUGAGGCGCGAAAGCGUGGGGAGCAAACAGGAUUAGAUACCCUGGUAGUCCUCGCCGUAAACGAUGAGUGCUAAGUGUUAGAGGGUUUCCGCCCUUUAGUGCUGCAG